rnacentral:rRNA from 1 species
UACGUAGGGGGCAAGCGUUGUCCGGAAUUAUUGGGCGUAAAGCGCGUGUAGGCGGUCCGGUAAGUCGGUUGUGAAAGUCCAGGGCUCAACCCUGGGAUGCCGAUCGAUACUGCCGGACUAGAGCCCGGAAGAGGCGAGUGGAAUUCCCGGUGUAGCGGUGAAAUGCGCAGAUAUCGGGAGGAACACCAGUGGCGAAGGCGGCUUCCUGGCCUGUUCUUGACGCUGAGGCGCGAAAGCUAGGGGAGCAAACGGG